rnacentral:rRNA from 1 species
AGAUUCCUACGGGAGGCAGCAGUGGGGAAUAUUGCACAAUGGGCGCAAGCCUGAUGCAGCGACGCCGCGUGAGGGAUGACGGCCUUCGGGUUGUAAACCUCUUUCAGUAGGGAAGAAGCGAAAGUGACGGUACCUGCAGAAGAAACACCGGCUAACUACGUGCCAGCAGCCGCGGUAAUACGUAGGGUGCGAGCGUUAUCCGGAAUUAUUGGGCGUAAAGAGCUCGUAGGCGGUUUGUCGCGUCUGUCGUGAAAGUCCGGGGCUUAACCCCGGAUCUGCGGUGGGUACGGGCAGACUAGAGUGCAGUAGGGGAGACUGGAAUUCCUGGUGUAGCGGUGGAAUGCGCAGAUAUUAGGAGGAACACCGAUGGCGAAGGCAGGUCUCUGGGCUGUAACUGACGCUGAGGAGCGAAAGCAUGGGGAGCGAACAGGAUUAGAUACCCUGGUAGUCCAUGCCGUAAACGUUGGGCACUAGGUGUGGGGACCAUUCCACGGUUUCCGCGCCGCAGCUAACGUAUUAAGUGCCCCGCCUGGGGAGUACGGCCGCAAGGCUAAAACUCAAAGGAAUUGACGGGGGCCCGCACAAGCGGCGGAGCAUGCGGAUUAAUUCGAUGCGACGCGAAGAACCUUACCAAGGCUUGACAUGUUCUCGAUCGCCGUAGAGAUACGGUUUCCCCUUUGGGGCGGGUUCACAGGUGGUGCAUGGUUGUCGUCAGCUCGUGUCGUGAGAUGUUGGGUUAAGUCCCGCAACGAGCGCAACCCUCGUUCCAUGUUGCCAGCACGUCGUGGUGGGGACUCAUGGGAGACUGCCGGGGUCAACUCGGAGGAAGGUGAGGACGACGUCAAAUCAUCAUGCCCCUUAUGUCUUGGGCUUCACGCAUGCUACAAUGGCCGGUACAAUGGGUUGCGAUACUGUGAGGUGGAGCUAAUCCCAAAAAGCCGGUCUCAGUUCGGAUUGGGGUCUGCAACUCGACCCCAUGAAGUCGGAGUCGCUAGUAAUCGCAGAUCAGCAACGCUGCGGUGAAUACGUUCCCGGGCCUUGUACACACCGCC